rnacentral:misc_RNA from 1 species
AUGAAGAACGCAGUGAAAUGCGAUAAGUAAUGUGAAUUGCAGAAUUCAGUGAAUCAUCGAAUCUUUGAACGCACAUUGCGCCCGCCAGUAUUCUGGCGGGCAUGCCUGUCCGAGCGUCAUUUCAACCCUCGAACCCCUCCGGGGGGUCGGCGUUGGGGACCUCGGGAGCCCCUAAGACGGGAUCCCGGCCCCGAAAUACAGUGGCGGUCUCGCCGCAGCCUCUCCUGCGCAGUAGUUUGCACAACUCGCACCGGGAGCGCGGCGCGUCCACGUCCGUAAAACACCCAACUUCUGAAAUGUUGACCUCGGAUCAGGUAGGAAUACCCGCUGAACUUAAGCAUAUCAAUAAGCGGAGGA